rnacentral:lncRNA from 1 species
UUCUAGGCUUGGCUGUGUGAAGAUCAAAGCAGAGGAAGCCACACAAUGCAGAGAAUCAACAGUGGAGCUAUGCCUAGUGAGAAGCAAAGAGACGCUGGACGGCCUGAGAGGGAGACUGAGAAAAGCUGUCAGCUUUUAGUUCAUGGUUCCAGUCCUUUGUGACGGCCAGCUUGAUUAGAGGUUUAUAACAGUUCACUACUUCAUCUACAUCCUCAAGCCAACACCUAUGAAAAAGAUAAUGGUGUCCGAUGACAGGCCUCUGCUAACAGUGUAAGGCUAUCUGUGAACUCCUCAGUCUACACGUAUCUUCCUCAGCCUCUGGGGUUCCAUUUCCACCCAAGAAUUAAAUUGAUAGAAAGAAAAACAGCAAAAUAUAC